UUUUAUGGAUGAGCAAAGGAAGUAGUUUCUUGCGAUGGAAUAUACUCCUGGAGAAGAUGCUAUGAA
rnacentral:pre_miRNA from 1 species